rnacentral:rRNA from 1 species
UACGUAGGGAGCAAGCGUUGUCCGGAAUCAUUGGGCGUAAAGCGCGCGUAGGUGGCCUCGUAAGUCCGCUGUGAAAGUCAAAGGCUCAACCUUUGAAAGCCGGUGGAUACUGUGAGGCUAGAGUACGGAAGAGGCGAGUGGAAUUCCUGGUGUAGCGGUGGAAUGCGCAGAUAUCAGGAGGAGCACCAAUAGCGAAGGCAGCUCGCUGGGACGUAACUGACACUGAGGCGCGAAAGCGUGGGGAGCGAACAGG